GAUGAAGAACGCAGCGAAAUGCGAUAAGUAAUGUGAAUUGCAGAAUUCAGUGAAUCAUCGAAUCUUUGAACGCACAUUGCGCCCGCCAGUAUUCUGGCGGGCAUGCCUGUUCGAGCGUCAUUUCAACCCUCAAGACCCCUUCGGGGGACUUGGUGUUGGGGACCGGCACAGGGGCCUGCCUGCUUGUCUUGCAGCGCCCUCGCCGCCCCCGAAAUGAAUUGGCGGCCUCGUCGCGGACUCCCCUGCGUAGUAGCACAAACCUCGCAACGGGAACGUGACGGCGGCCACUGCCGUAAAACAACCCAAUUUUAUUAGAGUUGACCUCGAAUCAGGUAGGAAUACCCGCUGAACUUAAGCAUAUCAAUAAGCGGAGGA
rnacentral:misc_RNA from 1 species